UACAGAGGUCUCAAGCGUUGUUCGGAUUCAUUGGGCGUAAAGGGUGCGUAGGUGGCGCCGUAAGUCGGGUGUGAAAUCUCGGGGCUUAACUCCGAAACUGCAUUCGAUACUGCGGUGCUUGAGGACUGGAGAGGAGACUGGAAUUUACGGUGUAGCGGUGAAAUGCGUAGAUAUCGUAAGGAAGACCAGUGGCGAAGGCGGGUCUCUGGACAGUUCCUGACGCUGAGGCACGAAGGCCAGGGGAGCAAACGGG
rnacentral:rRNA from 1 species